UCUCCGUUGGUGAACCAGCGGAGGGAUCAUUACAGAGUUUUUAACUCCCAAACCCAUGUGAACUUACCUUCUGUUGCCUCGGCGGGUCCUGCCUCUCAGGUAGUUCGCCCGCCGGUGGCCCACCAAAACUCUUGAUAUCUAAUUGAAAUCUGAGCGUUAUUUUUAAAAUAAGUCAAAACUUUCAACAACGGAUCUCUUGGUUCUG
rnacentral:misc_RNA from 1 species